AAAAGUAAAAAAAUCUUGUGUUCUUUUCCCUCCUCUAUUUCUGUCCUCUUUUCUCUGUGGCCGUGAAAGCCCAGUUAACGACAGAGCUGGAUUUGAAAGUGACGAUGGCAGGGACGCACUAACUGCGUAAUUAGGAGAUCAGUGAAUGGCAGCUUUUGUUCUCUUCCCAGCAACUAGAAAAGGGUGUCUGCUGAGGGGAAGAUUUCAUCACUGAAAGGACAAGACAGAGUGAAAAAAAGGACGAAAGACUUUACAUCACACAUGAUGGCUAUAUUUGAAAGUGUGAAAUAUGAUCACACGAGGAUUAUAAAAAAUUAACAUAAAACUACAGGAGAAAUGGCUCACGUCAUAAAACUGACACAGGGAUGUAAAAUCUCAGAGGCAUUCAGGAGUGGUCAGAUAUCUCAGUGGAGGAGCAGCAUUGGACCCUGCGAUUGUCUCAUACACCCAUGGGGAACAACACUUUCUGAUUGGUUUGUCCAGCCAAGGGUCACAGUUGUGAUAUCCAAGGUCAGCCUCAGCUCGCCCGUCCAAGUCUUAAUUUUUUUUUUCUUCUUGGAGCUGACCGGUCUUCGGGAAUAUUCAUUGACUGCAGCAAACGCAUAGAUUCUUUAAAGCCCGGGCCAUCUCGAGCUGCAGAUUUAAUUGAUAUGGUAAUGAGGCAGGAUUUAGUCGCUGGACGUCCUUGCUUUUCUCCUCAAGAAAUUCUUGUUUGAAGAUUUCCUUUCUUCCCUCAGGAGCAAGCGUCAGAUAGGUGUCUGAUUUGGACAGACUGGAGAUGAACCUAAGUUGCUCACAGUGAAAUGUGUAAAAUCAGUGGUAGUGAUGUUUUGCAUGGCCUGCUUUAUCAGCGACAAAGAGUACAAAUAGCACAAAAAUACAAGAAAACUUUUAUAAUUUUUAUCAAAUGUUGCUUUUGUUGCUGCUGUUACUUAUGGCUUGUUGAUCUGUGCUUGGCACAAUUUGUUUUAGAAUACAGCCAUCAUGCUGCAUCUUGGUAACCUAAUGAUUAAGACAUAUACUUGCAACAUCUCCUGUUAGAUUCCAGUCAGGGAUCUGUGUUCCAUGUUAUUGGCUCAUAAGCAUAGAUUUAGGUAUGGACGGACGGACAUGUCAAGCUGGUGCUGAAUUGUUCUUAUCAAUAUUUUUACCGAUCUUAGAUGAUCAGUGUAAUCGUAAGAUCUAUGCAGAGUUGCCAGAUUUGUGUGUUGUCUGCAAAAAGUGGGCUAGAGAAAGAGCAAGCUACGGGGAAUACCUGACCUGAUGAUCUGGCAACCCGCUGUACUACAAAUUGCCAGCUAGCUAAAGCACUGGCAAUAGUAGGAGUCUGAAUGGUGAUGAUCGGUAGUUUGAAGCAGUUAGUAUUAUACUUUAAAUAUUUCAAACACUGCAGAAUUAAAAACAACUUUGCUGGAUAUAACUGACAUCAAGUGAUAUUAUGUUAAAUUAUAGGCACACGGUGUUGGCUAAUUUGUCAUCAUUGCUCAGAUAUGUCAUUUUAAAAAAACGACUUUAUUACUAGGAAAGAAAGCUCCCAAAAAGCAACCAAAGAAGAAUCAAAGUGUAGUAACUGCGUAGCUGUUCUAUAAUCCGAAUAUUUAUCAUCUUUGACAUUAGUAACAUGUAGAAUUAAUAUCUAUCAUCCAAAAUUGAAAGUAUAUCCCAAAGUUAUUAGGAAGCAUCGUCUGGGUACAUCUGUAUAAAAUUUCAUGGCAAUUCAGCCAGUAGAUGUUGAAAUGGUCAUCCCUAAGACCUUUGCUGCUAGCAUGGCUAAGAAUGUAUCCAUUUCUGCUUAAAUCACAAAAAAAGAGAGAAUCCAAGGCUAUGUGUUCAAAAUAAAGAAAGCUUAAGCUUAACUUGAA